rnacentral:rRNA from 1 species
GAUGAACGCUAGCGGGAGGCCUAACACAUGCAAGCCGAGCGGUAUUGUUUCUUCGGAAAUGAGAGAGCGGCGUACGGGUGCGUAACACGUGUGCAACCUGCCUUUAUCUGGGGGAUAGCCUUUCGAAAGGAAGAUUAAUACUCCAUAAUAUAUUGAACGGCAUCGUUUAAUAUUGAAAGCUCCGGCGGAUAGAGAUGGGCACGCGCAAGAUUAGCUAGUUGGUGAGGUAACGGCUCACCAAGGCGAUGAUCUUUAGGGGGCCUGAGAGGGUGAUCCCCCACACUGGUACUGAGACACGGACCAGACUCCUACGGGAGGCAGCAGUGAGGAAUAGUGGUCAAUGGGUGCAAGCCUGAACCAGCCAUCCCGCGUGAAGGACGACUGCCCUAUGGGUUGUAAACUUCUUUUGUAUAGGGAUAAACCUACCCUCGAGAGGGUAGCUGAAGGUACUAUACGAAUAAGCACCGGCUAACUCCGUG